rnacentral:tRNA from 1 species
GAAGCUGUGGAGAAGUGGGAGUUCUCACCGGUUUGUCAGACCGGAGGUCGCGGGUUCAAGUCCCGCCGGCUUCACCA